AACGAACGCUGGCGGCGCGCCUAAUACAUGCAAGUCGAGCGAGAAGGUGUAGCAAUACACUUGUAAAGCGGCGAACGGGUGAGGAAUACAUGGGUAAUCUACCAUCGAGUGGGGAAUAACCAACCGAAAGGUUGGCUAAUACCGCGUACGCCUCCGAGUCUUCGGGUUCGGAGGGAAAGCUGCACUGUGAGUGUAGCGCUCUUUGAUGAGCUCAUGUCCUAUCAGCUUGUUGGUAGGGUAACGGCCUACCAAGGCUUUGACGGGUAGCUGGUCUGAGAGGACGAUCAGCCACACUGGCACUGCGACACGGGCCAGACUCCUACGGGAGGCAGCAGUAAGGAAUAUUGCGCAAUGGGCGAAAGCCUGACGCAGCGACGCCGCGUGG
rnacentral:rRNA from 1 species